UAGCAUUCAUGUAACUGGUUUGGCUUUC
rnacentral:piRNA from 1 species